CUCUUUUUUUUUUUUUUUUUUUUUUUUUUUUUUUGUGAAAGAGCACGCUUUAUUGGGAAGCAGACUGCUGCACAGUGACCAACAGACAGACCACCCAAUGGGCAUUUACACAUCGUACUCCAAAAGACACAGGAUGCUUUGCUAAUAAAAAUCAAUGGGAAUAGGGAUUCCUCUAGGCAACUCCCAGAACUUCAUCCCUUUCAGGGAUUGAGAAAUUUCCCAAACAUUUUCCUGAUGGCAGCCGUGGUUCACUAGAGAUACAGCCCCUCAGGGGUGCCUUCCUGUUUCUUAUAAAGAACAUUUUCUUUAGAUUUUUUGAAGUCUUCAUUUGUUACUUUCAUUCUACGUUCUCUUAAGGCCAUCAGACCAGCUUCUGUACAGAUUGCCUUGAUGUCAGCACCAGAGAGGUCAUCUUUAGCCAUGAUCAAGUCAUCCAGGGUUACAUCAUCAGCCAGCGUCAUCCUGCUUGUGUGAAUCUGAAAGAUGCGCUUCUUCGUCUUUUCAUCAGGCAGGGGGAACUCAAUCUUCCUGUCAAUGCGGCCUGGCCUGAUAAGUGCUGGAUCCAAAGUUUCUAUUCGGUUUGUGGCCAUGAUAACUUUCACAUCUCCCCUAGAAUCAAAUCCAUCCAACUGGUUCAGCAGUUCCAACAUUGUUCGCUGAAUUUCUCUCUCCCCACCAGAAUUGGAGUCAUAUCUUUUUGUCCCAAUGGCGUCAAUUUCAUCAAUAAACACGAUGGACGGUGCAUGUUCUUCAGCAACUCGAAACAAUUCCCGUACGAGUUUGGGCCCAUCACCUAGGUACUUCUGAAUAAGUUCAGAGCCAACCACUCUCAAGAAAGUGGCUGAGGUUUGGUUUGCUACAGCUUUGGCUAACAAGGUUUUACCUGUGCCAGGUGGACCAUAGAGAAUGACCCCCUUAGGAGGCUUUAUACCCAUCUCUUCAUAAUAUUCAGGAUGGGUGAGAGGAAGCUCCACAGAUUCCUUAAUUUCCUGAAUUUGGUUGUCCAACCCCCCAAUAUCCGCAUAGGUCUCCUGGGGGGCCUUUUCCACCUUCAUCACUGUGACCAGGGGAUCCGUGUCAUCCAUCAGCACCCCUAUCACGGCAUGCACCUUGUGAUUGAGCAGGACCGAGCAGCCAGGUUCCAGCAGAUCCUUGUCUACAAAUGAAAGAAUGCUGACGUAGUGUUCUGAGCCCACAGAUGUAGACACGAUGGCAUGAUUGUCAUCAAUGAUCUCUUCCAAGGUUCCUACUGACAUCGGGGUCCCCCUCAGAUCAUCCACUUUUGAUCUUUCCUCCUCUUGCUUUUCUUCUAAUGGUUUCAUUUGUUCCUGAUUUCUAAUGAAUUCUUCCUCCAUGAGAAGAUAGUCUUUAAUUCUCUCUAACUUCAGUAAUUUUAACCGGCACUGAGUGUGAGGUGUCACCAGUGGCAGUUUGCUGGCAGCGUCUGGUCCCUUCGUUUUCUUCUUCUUUUUCCCCACUCUAGUUGGUACAGGAGGUUCAUAUUUCUUUUUCUUGUCCUUGUCAUCCUUCUUGCCACCUCCAGGACCAUGACCACCACUCUGACUUUGACCCAUCUUGCCUUGGCCACUUGAGCUGCCG
rnacentral:lncRNA from 1 species